AGCGAACGCUGGCGGCAGGCUUAACACAUGCAAGUCGAGCGGGCACUUUCGGGUGUCAGCGGCGGACGGGUGAGUAACGCGAGGGAACGUGCCCUCUGGUUCGGAAUAACUCAGGGAAACUUGAGCUAAUACCGGAUACGCCCUUUUGGGGAAAGGCUUGCUGCCGGAGGAUCGGCCCGCGUCUGAUUAGCUAGUUGGUGAGGUAACGGCUCACCAAGGCGACGAUCAGUAGCUGGUCUGAGAGGAUGGUCAGCCACACUGGGACUGAGACACGGCCCAGACUCCUACGGGAGGCAGCAGUGGGGAAUAUUGGACAAUGGGCGCAAGCCUGAUCCAGCCAUGCCGCGUGAGUGAUGAGGGCCUUAGGGUUGUAAAGCUCUUUUAUCCGGGACGAUAAUGACGGUACCGGAGGAAUAAGCCCCGGCUAACUUCGUG
rnacentral:rRNA from 1 species